AUGAACGCUAGCUACAGGCUUAACACAUGCAAGUCGAGGGGCAGCAUGGUCUUAGCUUGCUAAGGCCGAUGGCGACCGGCGCACGGGUGAGUAACACGUAUCCAACCUGCCGUCUACUCUUGGACAGCCUUCUGAAAGGAAGAUUAAUACAAGAUGGCAUCAUGAGUCCGCAUGUUCACAUGAUUAAAGGUAUUCCGGUAGACGAUGGGGAUGCGUUCCAUUAGAUAGUAGGCGGGGUAACGGCCCACCUAGUCUUCGAUGGAUAGGGGUUCUGAGAGGAAGGUCCCCCACAUUGGAACUGAGACACGGUCCAAACUCCUACGGGAGGCAGCAGUGAGGAAUAUUGGUCAAUGGGCGAGAGCCUGAACCAGCCAAGUAGCGUGAAGGAUGACUGCCCUAUGGGUUGUAAACUUCUUUUAUAAAGGAAUAAAGUCGGGUAUGCAUACCCGUUUGCAUGUACUUUAUGAAUAAGGAUCGGCUAACUCCGUGCCAGCAGCCGCGGUAAUACGGAGGAUCCGAGCGUUAUCCGGAUUUAUUGGGUUUAAAGGGAGCGUAGAUGGAUGUUUAAGUCAGUUGUGAAAGUUUGCGGCUCAACCGUAAAAUUGCAGUUGAUACUGGAUAUCUUGAGUGCAGUUGAGGCAGGCGGAAUUCGUGGUGUAGCGGUGAAAUGCUUAGAUAUCACGAAGAACUCCGAUUGCGAAGGCAGCCUGCUAAGCUGCAACUGACAUUGAGGCUCGAAAGUGUGGGUAUCAAACAGGAUUAGAUACCCUGGUAGUCCACACGGUAAACGAUGAAUACUCGCUGUUUGCGAUAUACAGCAAGCGGCCAAGCGAAAGCGUUAAGUAUUCCACCUGGGGAGUACGCCGGCAACGGUGAAACUCAAAGGAAUUGACGGGGGCCCGCACAAGCGGAGGAACAUGUGGUUUAAUUCGAUGAUACGCGAGGAACCUUACCCGGGCUUAAAUUGCAGAUGAAUUACGGUGAAAGCCGUAAGCCGCAAGGCAUCUGUGAAGGUGCUGCAUGGUUGUCGUCAGCUCGUGCCGUGAGGUGUCGGCUUAAGUGCCAUAACGAGCGCAACCCUUGUUGUCAGUUACUAACAGGUCAUGCUGAGGACUCUGACAAGACUGCCAUCGUAAGAUGUGAGGAAGGUGGGGAUGACGUCAAAUCAGCACGGCCCUUACGUCCGGGGCUACACACGUGUUACAAUGGGGGGUACAGAGGGCCGCUACCACGCGAGUGGAUGCCAAUCCCAAAAACCUCUCUCAGUUCGGACUGGAGUCUGCAACCCGACUCCACGAAGCUGGAUUCGCUAGUAAUCGCGCAUCAGCCACGGCGCGGUGAAUACGUUCCCGGGCCUUGUACACACCGCCCGUCAAGCCAUGGGAGCCGGGGGUACCUGAAGUGCGUAACCGCGAGGAGCGCCCUAGGGUAAAACUGGUGACUGGGGCU
rnacentral:rRNA from 1 species